GCUGGGCGUGGUGUCACACACCUGUAAUCCCAGCGACUCAGGAGGCUGAGGCAGGAGGAUUGUGAUUUCAAAGCCAGCCUCAGCAACUUAGCAAGACCCUGUCUCUA
rnacentral:sRNA from 1 species